rnacentral:rRNA from 1 species
GACGAACGCUGGCGGCGUGCCUAAUACAUGCAAGUCGAGCGAAGUUUUUCUGGUGCUUGCACUAGAAAAACUUAGCGGCGAUCGGGUGAGUAACACGUAAAGAACCUGCCUCAUAGACUGGGACAACUAUUGGAAACGAUAGCUAAUACCGGAUAACAGUAUUUCUCGCAUGAGAGAUAUUUAAAAGUUGGUUAUGCUAACACUAUGAGAUGGCUUUGCGGUGCAUUAGCUAGUUGGUGGGGUAAAGGCCCACCAAGGCGACGAUGCAUAGCCGACCUGAGAGGGUGAUCGGCCACACUGGGACUGAGACACGGCCCAGACUCCUACGGGAGGCAGCAGUAGGGAAUCUUCCGCAAUGGGCGAAAGCCUGACGGAGCAACGCCGCGUGAGUGAAGAAGGAUUUCGGUUCGUAAAGCUCUGUUGUUAGGGAAGAAUGGAUAUGUAGUAACUAUACAUGUAAGAGACGGUACCUAACCAGAAAGCCACGGCUAACUACGUG